ACCAAUUGCAGAUGUGGAGAGUAUGGGAGUUUUAAGCUACGCCAGAAGAGGCGUCGCCGUUUUCUUUGAAUAUGACACGCCAAGAAUUGUUCACAUCCGUAGCAAGAAGGUUGGAGUCAUCAAUCGAAUUAUACAGUUCCUCAUUGUCGCUUACAUCGUCGGGUACGUGAUCAUCUACAGUAAGGGCUACCAGAAGUUUGGCGGCAUCGACAGCGCGGUGACGACGAAGGUGAAGGGGACCAUCUACACGAACGUGAGCGGCCUCGACCCGCUCUACAACAACCGCAUAUGGGACGUCGGCGACUACAUCCAGCCCGCGCAGGAGAACGGGGCGUUUUUCGUCAUGACGAACGUGAUCAUCACGCCGAACCAGACGCAGGGAGAGUGCGCCGAGGACCCGGCCAUCAUGCCCUGCGACACGGCCGAUAACUGCACCGCGGGCGAGCAGACGCCCAACGGCAACGGUGUGAUGACUGGAGAGUGUGUAUCGUACCCGCCCGAGCCCACGCUGCGGUCGUGCGAGAUACACGCAUGGUGCCCCGUCGAACUGGACGAGCUUCCCCUUGAGGAGGCACUACUGAAGAAUUCUUCUGUCUUCACAGUCCUCCUCAAGAACAGCGUAGAAUUCCCACAGUUUGGGAUAAAGCGACGAAACAUUCUCAACACGAUGGACUCUGAGUUUCUGCACAAGUGUCGCUACGACCCGAACAACGCGACGGCGAAGCUGUGUCCGGUGUUUGAGCUCGGCGUUCUGGCAUCGUCCGCCGGCCAGGAUUACGCGAAGAUGGCGAUAAAAGGUGGCGUCAUGGAGAUCGUCAUCACGUGGGAUUGUAACUUUGAUCGCGACGUGCAUGAAUGCAUUUCCGCAAUACAGCUUCUCCCGUCUCGACGACCGAACGACGAGCUCGCGAAGGGAUACAACUUCAGGUACGCUCACUACUACUACACUGGAGACGUGCAGACCAGAGUUCUCUACAAGGCUUACGGGAUACGCUUCAUGAUCAGCGUGACCGGGCAGGCAGGAAAGUUCAACAUCAUUCCACUCGCUACUAACAUCGGUGCUGGCCUGGCACUGCUGGGCAUAGCUAGGAUCUGCUGUGACAUCGUCGUGUUGCACCUGCACAGGAGGAAGGCGUUCUACCACGACGUCAAGUUCAAGGUCGUCCAGACGGAGGCGGGCGACAGGCCGUCCCAGCACAGCCCGGACAGCGAACGCGCGGACCCUGUUGUCCGUCGGGCGUAGUAGUCGAGCAAGACGCGGCGGCGAGUGUUAGUGGGUCGCGGAGAUAAACGGCAGCUGGGAGAAGAAGACAAUGGUCCCCCUGAUGCCGGCAGCACUAGAUGAACAGAGAGAGAGAGAAGAGAAAGAGAGAGAG